rnacentral:rRNA from 1 species
AGAGUUUGAUCCUGGCUCAGGACGAACGCUGGCGGCGCGCCUAACACAUGCAAGUCGAACGAGCGAGAGAGAGCUUGCUUUCUCGAGCGAGUGGCGAACGGGUGAGUAACGCGUGAGGAACCUGCCUCAAAGAGGGGGACAACAGUUGGAAACGACUGCUAAUACCGCAUAAGCCCACGGCUCGGCAUCGAGCAGAGGGAAAAGGAGCAAUCCGCUUUGAGAUGGCCUCGCGUCCGAUUAGCUAGUUGGUGAGGUAACGGCCCACCAAGGCGACGAUCGGUAGCCGGACUGAGAGGUUGAACGGCCACAUUGGGACUGAGACACGGCCCAGACUCCUACGGGAGGCAGCAGUGGGGAAUAUUGCACAAUGGGGGAAACCCUGAUGCAGCGACGCCGCGUGGAGGAAGAAGGUCUUCGGAUUGUAAACUCCUGUUGUUGGGGAAGAUAAUGACGGUACCCAACAAGGAAGUGACGGCUAACUACGUGCCAGCAGCCGCGGUAAAACGUAGGUCACAAGCGUUGUCCGGAAUUACUGGGUGUAAAGGGAGCGCAGGCGGGAAGACAAGUUGGAAGUGAAAUCUAUGGGCUCAACCCAUAAACUGCUUUCAAAACUGUUUUUCUUGAGUAGUGCAGAGGUAGGCGGAAUUCCCGGUGUAGCGGUGGAAUGCGUAGAUAUCGGGAGGAACACCAGUGGCGAAGGCGGCCUACUGGGCACCAACUGACGCUGAGGCUCGAAAGUGUGGGUAGCAAACAGGAUUAGAUACCCUGGUAGUCCACACCGUAAACGAUGAUUACUAGGUGUUGGAGGAUUGACCCCUUCAGUGCCGCAGUUAACACAAUAAGUAAUCCACCUGGGGAGUACGACCGCAAGGUUGAAACUCAAAGGAAUUGACGGGGGCCCGCACAAGCAGUGGAGUAUGUGGUUUAUUCGACGCAACGCGAAGAACCUUACCAAGUCUUGACAUCCCUUGACAGACAUAGAAAUAUGUUUUCUCUUCGGAGCAAGGAGACAGGUGGUGCAUGGUUGUCGUCAGCUCGUGUCGUGAGAUGUUGGGUUAAGUCCCGCAACGAGCGCAACCCUUAUGGUCAGUUACUACGCAAGAGGACUCUGGCCAGACUGCCGUUGACAAAACGGAGGAAGGUGGGGAUGACGUCAAAUCAUCAUGCCCUUUAUGACUUGGGCUACACACGUACUACAAUGGCGUUAAACAAAGAGAAGCAAGACCGCGAGGUGGAGCAAAACUCAGAAACAACGUCCCAGUUCGGACUGCAGGCUGCAACUCGCCUGCACGAAGUCGGAAUUGCUAGUAAUCGUGGAUCAGCAUGCCACGGUGAAUACGUUCCCGGGCCUUGCACUCACCGCCCGUCA